UUUCCGUAGGUGAACCUGCGGAAGGAUCAUUACUGAGGUCAUCGCUUCUUCGGAGGUGUUACCCGUCCUUAUGUCAUACGCACGCGCCGCCGGGGCUCGCGGGCGACCUCCGCGAGGGGGGAGCACGCGUGCCCUGGGUUGCGGCGCGAGUACAGCAUUUCCGCCGAGGUGGCGCGGCUCUCGAGCGAUCGAGGGGCGCGUCCGCGGCGGGCCCAACAUCUUACAACUCUUGCGAAAACAUGAAGUCUGAAGACCAAACGAAAAUGAAAAGCAAAACUUUCAACAACGGAUCUCUUGGCUCUGGCAUCGAUGAAGAACGCAGC
rnacentral:misc_RNA from 1 species